CGCGUAGGUGGUUUGGUAAGCGAUAUGUGAAAUCCCCGGGCUUAACCUGGGAACUGCAUGUCGAACUGCCAGGCUAGAGUAUGGUAGAGGGGUGUGGAAUUUCCUGUGUAGCGGUGAAAUGCGUAGAUAUAGGAAGGAACAUCAGUGGCGAAGGCGACACCCUGGACCGAUACUGACACUGAGGCGCGAAAGCGUGGGUAGCGAACA
rnacentral:rRNA from 1 species